CGUGGUGAUUGCGAGUGUGCAGAUCUUCCUUUCAUGCAUCGACAUUUUCGCCGUCAUUCAAAAUGUUCGCUGCCUGAUUUGGAUAUUCCUGGCUUGGCUGGUCGCCAUUACCAUCGCUUCGUUGGUGCUGCUCAUCGUCAUUGCUACAGAGAUACAAAAUUCCGGCAUACGGCAUAUUAUCCUAACGACAGCCAUACUCAUAGUCGACAUUAAUGGUACCAUCAUCGUCGCAUCACACCUGCGGCAGGAGCGAAAGAGUGAUGGGCUCAACCAGAAGGGGAAGGUCUGUCCAGCACGAGCCGGAGUUCCUGUGGCCGAGGUAGUUCCUCAGGGUCUGCCUCGGAUCAGUUGGCAAGAUGGAGGCAAUGAAGGAAGGCAGGAGAGGUAUUAGAGUGUCGAAAUGGAGAAAAGCUAGUAACAAAUUGGUUACUAAAUGGUGACAAACUGGUAACAAGCUGGUGACAAGCUGAUGACAAGCAGGGUGGCCCAGUGGAUGGGCAGGGUGGCCCAGUGGAUAAA